rnacentral:hammerhead_ribozyme from 1 species
ACCCAGCUGACGAGUUCCAAAUAGGACGAAACGUGCGUCCUGGAU